GGGAGGUAGUGACAAUAAAUAACAAUAUGGGGUUCUUUCGGAUCUCGUAAUUGGAAUGAGUACAAUUUAAAUCUCUUAACGAGGAACAAUUGGAGGGCAAGUCUGGUGCCAGCAGCCGCGGUAAUUCCAGCUCCAAUAGCGUAUAUUAAAGUUGUUGCAGUUAAAAAGCUCGUAGUUGAAUUUCGGGGUUAGUAGGUUGGUCAUGCCUCUGAUAUGUACUGAUCUCACUGAUUCCUCCCUCUUGACGAACUGUAAUGUCAUUAAUUUGGUGUUGCAGGAAAUCAGGACUGUUACUUUAGAAAAAAUUAGAGUGUUUAAAGCAGGCUAAGGCUUGAAUACAUUAGCAUGGAAUAAUGAAAUAGGACGUUUGAUCCUUAUUUUGUUGGUUUCUAGGAUUGACGUAAUGAUUAAUAGGGAUAGUUGGG
rnacentral:rRNA from 1 species